UAGCACAGAACCCACAGGAAAAGACGAAGGGAGCAUCGCAGAGACCCAGGGCCAGCAACUCAGCCAGCCAGUCAACCAACAUCUGAGGCAGCAGCACCCUACUUACUAGCUAUGGCUGGGCUGUUAAUUUUGUGGUUGAGAACUGACGUGGCUGUUUCCUAUCAAACCUGUACAAUGGGGAUCUGAUCUCUUCUAUGUAGAAUUGGUCUCCACACACUCUCGACACUGACACAGCCUAUCACCGCAUCAUGUGGUAGCGACCAUUUGCCACUCACUCUCCCUCUCUCUCAUUCAUUCCUUCAUUUUUUCUCCUGGCUAGACGAUCUCUGCUGGGGUUGCAUUUGAACGAUUGCCUGAAAUGGCCUCGGCUGUUGCUCCUUCCACUCUAAUGAAUGGAGUUUGUGAUGUGGGUUAUAGCCAGCGAGGGGCGUAUGCCAUACAUGAAUCUCUCAAGGACCAGAUGUCUUUCAACGAAAGAAUGCUGUCCAACUAAGCUGCCCUUGAUACGCUUGGGUCGACCCUAGAGUGAUGGGUUUCUCGUAUCAAAUGUUUUGCAACAACCUGGGAAGACUGCUAAUAAGCUUCUGAAUGCGAUAAUAGAACAUCCGUAAAUGUAUAGAACCUUGUUAGCGCUGCACAAGUGGGCCCUGCAAAGCUUGGAAUGCAGAAUUGUGUUAUUAUGAGCGUCAUAAUCUCGGAGUAAUCCUGCGAACUUAGUAAGACCAAUAUGCAGCAAUUGCGAGCAUUCUAAAUGCACAAAGAUAUGAUAGUGUUGUGCAAAUGCAUGCAGUGUUUCUAACCCGUAAAACUGGUAGCAGAAUCCAAGUGUUGUCACAGUAGCGAUCCCAACUCAAUGAACUAUUCUUCCGUAGGAGGUGGCAGAUACCUCGAAUUCUCAAAGAAUAUGUCAUUGCAAAUGCUGAGAGUGCGUUCGGCCCUCCACGAAAUGCCUUUCCUUUCUAUUAAAGGAAGGAUGUCUUUCCUCAACCUGCUCUCUUUGGUAAAAGUCAAUACUAUCUCCCAAGCCGCCUAUUUGGCAGCUGAGAGGGCGAAGGUGGAAUAACCACAUCAGGUCCAACUUCGCCCUACCCCACCUACAAAAGAAAUUAUGUAUAUUCGUACUUAUUGGAAACCUACUGGACCGACGCAGGUGUGAUGCGCGUGAAGUACUCGACUUCAUGCUUGGCCCAGUGUCAGAAAUGUCGCGAAUGCUGACUGUGAGCAUAACGCCCCACCUUCUUUUGAUAACUCUUCAGGAUUUCUUACUCUCAGAUUUCGUCCCUUUCAAACCUCGGGUUGCAAGUUUGUUCGAGUGGAUUUCGUUCUUCCAUCUGUUCUAAACUUCACACUAAACAAUACAUCACUAGGAGCGCUUGCCUUAAUUUCAUGUCCUGCCGAUGACUCUAGCAUCGUAGAUAAUUUACUUCAUGGUUAUGCUGUCCAAGUACGUCUUCUUCUUUCACCGACGUACUUUGUAAUUGUAAACCAUGUGUAGCACUCUUUUCUAAAAUUCUAAAAUUCACUACCAACUAAUAUACUAUUUUAAAUUCGUGUGCAGAGGUAUAUGUGGUUUUAAAAAAUGGCUUGUUGAAAGAAGACAAAAUUAAGAUCUCUGUUUUUGUUUUUUUAAUUAGUACUGCUAACUCAA